rnacentral:rRNA from 1 species
AGUAACGCGUAAAGAACUUGCCUCACAGUUAGGGACAACAUUUGGAAACGAAUGCUAAUACCUGAUAUUAUGAUAAUAGGGCAUCCCAUAAUUAUGAAAGCUAUAAGCGCUGUGAGAGAGCUUUGCGUCCCAUUAGCUAGUUGGAGAGGUAACGGCUCACCAAGGCGAUGGUGGGUAGCCGGCCUGAGAGGGUGAUCGGCCACAAGGGGACUGAGACACGGCCCUU